rnacentral:rRNA from 1 species
UACGUAGGGUCCGAGCGUUGUCCGGAAUUACUGGGCGUAAAGCGCGCGCAGGCGGCCCGCGAGGUGUCACGUGAAAGCCCCGGGCUCAACCCGGGAGGGUCGUGGCAAACCGGCGGGCUUGAGGCCGGUAGAGGUGGGUGGAACUCCUGGUGGAGUGGUGAAAUGCGUAGAGAUCAGGAGGAACACCUGUGGCGAAAGCGGCUCACUGGACCAUAACUGACGCUGAUGCACGAAAGCUAGGGGAGCAAACAGG